CGAACAUCAAAAUAUCUAGAAACAAUCAAGUACGAAAAUCGAGGGAGGUAACUUCGACUGUGAAAAAUUUUUCUGUACUUUCUUCAUUCAGAACUCAAACUUGAAAGUAGGGGGACUGGUGUUGGGUACAAAAUAUCCCCAGUCGAAGUUCGCAAAAGGCCGACCCUUCUAGGGUUCUUCCAGCUUUCGACCUUGUGUGGCAUCUUUCUGAACUCCCUCGAUCGGCCGAGCUUCCAUAUUACCAUCCAGACUUCUCUGAUAAUAAGCUUCUCCAUUCAUCAAUUGGACUGCUCCAAACGCUCUCUGAACUCCGCUAUCAACUGAUUUUCUACGGUGAUCGACUAUUCUCCGAAUUCCUUCUAGACUUCUUCCGGCCAUGGACGACUCUACUCCGAACUUCUUUCGAACUUCAUCAGUAUCCGAGCUUCUCUGACAAUGAGAUUUCUAUAGUAACCAAACUCCAUCCAAGUUUCUACGGUGGUCGACCACCUUUUAGAUUCCAUCCGAGCUCCUACGAGAAUCAGAUUUCAAUCGAACUCCUAUAGUG
rnacentral:lncRNA from 1 species